AAAUGCUGUUGAAACACGGAAAUGUGAACUGUCAAAACUUUUAUUUUAGUUACAUUUCCCCCUCUCUUUCCAUUCUAGUCCUCAAAGCAACUUAGCAACAAUUAUUUAAAAUAAAUGUUGUCCUUAAAUGACAAUAUUAAAACCCAGCAUAAAAGGCAUAACAUUCACAUACAAAACAACAGGCUAGUUCACACGAUCAGUAAUUGGGUUGGACAAUUGUCCUACCCAAAUCUGGGAGCCGUGCACACCCCUGUUUUGCCUGUGUGUUCUCAUAAAAAUCAAGGUAGGAGGUCAGGGAAGUGAUCGUGCGGGAGGCUCCCAUGGAGGAGGAUAGCUCUGUCCUACACAGUAGCUGUGCCUGGGGCUUUUAUACACAGCAGGCAAAGCUCUGGACUAAAUGUUGAGAGAAGCCACUUUGAAUUACACUCGUGGCAUGAAGGAAGCAGCCCCUCCCCUCUGCUCUCAGCUUUUCUUUUGGUGCAGGUUCACAUUGCAUGCCCCCAUGUUUUCCUUCUAGCCAAGGGGGACUCCUUGGGAACACAAUGUUGCCUUCAAAACCUCGUGUCCUAGACUGGGAGCAUUUGUCUACACUAACAGAUUUCUUCCCUUUUUUUCCAACACAUGCCUGGUGUUUUAACCAGGAAAAACCUUAAGCAAGCAGACUAAUAUUGUCCAAAAACUUGAGCAAACACAGAGGUUUUACUUUUGUAACUAGAGCUUAAAAGAGUUUGCUUUCUGCAGCUAGGCAAGCCUGCUCGAUUUGCAUUUCUAAAGAGAUAUAUCUGCAUUCCUAAAGAGUGUUUCCCUCUUAUCAUUAUAAUGCUUCUACUUCAGUGCCUCACCCUAUUUGCUCUGACUUUUUCAGAAAAACUCACUUAAAACCAGCAUCGUAAAACCCGGAAAUACAUUGAGAUAAGCUAGAAUUCGGAAGACAAAGCCCGAUUUGUGUGUGGAGUGCUUCCAAGAAUCUCGAAUGGACUUCAGGGUUAUGAGUAAAGAAGAAAUUUCAGUCUCGUGUGCUAACUUAAGAACAGGAAAAAUUCCAUUCCAAUCGACCAAAGGCACUUCUGUCUGAACUCCACUUCACUGCAUUCAAUGGUACACCAUUAAAUGGUACUCCUGCAAGGCUUGUGGCCAGGGAACCUGUCCGACUGCAUUUCCCCAUAGUAAUCUGCCAUGGCCCAUAGUCCGGCAUCUCAGGCCAUGCUAGGGCCCCACCACUAACUGGGAUUGGACUGGCAGAGACUUGGAGGCAUGGCCUUUUCCAUUGUGGCCCCUCAGCUAUGGAAUGCCAUCCCAGAGGAACUUUGCCAUGCUUCCUUUCACAGGAUCUUCAAAAAGCAUUUGAAGACUUACCUUUUUAGAAAGGUGUGUGUGUGUGUGUGUUUUCAAUUGCAGCUGGUGACUCCUGUUCCGGGUGGGAGCGGGUAGUAAUGAUGAUGCAAUAUAACUAAAAAAACAAACUUUUUGCCAUGCUGACCAUUCAAAUGGCCACCACGCAUGCACAGAGACCAGCUGAGUAGUGGGGGCAGGGCAUCCUCUGCAGGAUGCUGGGUCGGCUGCCGCUGGUUCCCUAAGGAUACCAGGUGCUGGCAGCAGGUAAGUUCAGUUGUUUUUAAAGUCAGAUCUCACCACCUUCACUGCCCUCUCCGCCCACCAAGCAGGCUUCACCGCCACUACUGGUAUUUUUGUCUGCUAAACUUUAAAACUUGGUCUUAACUGGGUCCUGUUUUUAGCUAACUUUUAAAACUAUAUAGGCACUCCCCGACUUACAAACACCUGUCAUCCCUCAUAGGAACCAUAUGUGUUUCCGAGUUAUGAACUUACAAAUGAACUUUUGGAAUGCAACCCAUUUGUAAGUUGGAGACCCUGUAUAUGGUUUUAUUAUUAUUGUAAGCCACCCCAAGCAGUAUUGUACUGGAGGGGAUGGGAUAUUUUAAAUAAAUAUUCCAGAGUAUAUUCCCAUCCAUGGGAGCUGCUUUUCAAGGGGCAAUGGACAGCUAAGAGCUGAAAGGUCCAAGGAAAUACAUGGAACAACACACAUAGCCUUUCGGAUCCCAGUCAUCUUUUAAUAUACAUUUCUCAAUAUAGGGAAGGCCCACCUUGACAAAAAUAGUGGAAUUACAUUCCUGCAAAGCUUCCAUUAAGCUGAUCACAUGGAGACACACCAUCUCUACCAUCUGUGUGGGAAUGAAAAGAGUUCAAAUAAGAUACAUACCCUGUGCCACACUGUCAUUAAAACAACAAUCAAUGGAUGACAGGAUUAAGAUCAGAUUAAAUUUUUCAACAAAGAAAUGGUCAAUAUUUACCAGGUUUCCCUUGAUAUAGCUGUAAGUUACAUCCACAAGUUACAACCAUGUUCAAUGCAUUUUACUGGGUCUUUCUAAGUCUUUCUCUACAUCCCAUCCUGGCCAACUACCAUUAAUCAUGGUGCUGGUUUUUCCCCCUUUUCUUUGUAAUUUACUGGAUUUGGUCUGAAAAUUAAUUUGCUACAAAGAUAGUAUUAAUUUCUUACCAAGAUUUAUUGUUUUGAAUCAGCAGUGAGCCAUGAAUAUAAAAAUUCUUCACUGUAUCUUCAAUGAGCUAUGGCAUGCAAAAGGUUUCUCCAGCCUUUGAGUUGUAAAUACAAACCAAGGCAAAUAUAUGGAGAGAGAAAGAACAUUUACGGUGCUUUCCUGAGCUGUGCAUGGAUUUACUGUGAUAUUACCAAUAAAAUCCUCUUCCAUUUUUCUAUCGUA